AUUGAACGCUGGCGGCAGGCUUAACACAUGCAAGUCGAGCGGGGGAGGUAGCUUGCUACCUAACCUAGCGGCGGACGGGUGAGUAAUGCUUAGGAAUCUGCCUAUUAGUGGGGGACAACAUUUCGAAAGGGAUGCUAAUACCGCAUACGCCCUAAGGGGGAAAGCAGGGGAUCUUCGGACCUUGCGCUAAUAGAUGAGCCUAAGUCGGAUUAGCUAGUUGGUGGGGUAAAGGCCUACCAAGGCGACGAUCUGUAGCGGGUCUGAGAGGAUGAUCCGCCACACUGGGACUGAGACACGGGCCAGACUCCUACGGGAGGCAGCAGUGGGGAAUAUUGGACAAUGGGGGGAACCCUGAUCCAGCCAUGCCGCGUGUGUGAAGAAGGCCUUUUGGUUGUAAAGCACUUUAAGCGAGGAGGAGGCUACCGAGAUUAAUACGCUUGGAUAGUGGACGUUACUCGCAGAAUAAGCACCGGCUAACUCUGUGCCAGCCGCCGCCGUAAAAC
rnacentral:rRNA from 1 species